ensembl:lncRNA
CCUGUCUCUGAGGUGUUGUUGAGGAUAAUACUCUGGUGCUACGGACAGAAGGAGACUCUGACUCUGGUGCAGCAAGCCAAAUGAUCUAAACAGGGUUUGAGAGACCUGAUCUAAAGAUGGUCCUUGCUCGAAGGGGGAAGAGGAGAGGAUAAGAGAAGAGAGAAAAUAUUCUUAUUUUCGUUAUUGUUUGUUCUUCUCCUUGUUUCAUCUUCUCAGCAGCAUGAAUGAUCAACAGAGUACUGUGCCUUUACUGUGAGCUUACCCUCAGAUUCACAGACCCUGUCCCCAUCACCCCCUAACCCUUCACUCCCUACAGUCCCAUCACCCCCUACCCUAACCCUUCACUCCCUAUCCUAACCCUUCACCCCCUACUGUCCCAUAGCACCCUACUCCCUCACUCUCCUAUCGCUCCCUUGUCUGUCCUCUGUCCCUAUCAUCAGGUAUUAAACCACAUUUCCCAUUCACUUUUAUUCAGCACCCCAAUUCUGUUGUGCCCUAACCCAUGAUCACUCCUGUUAGGCAUGUCUCCCCACGUCUCCCAACCUCUCAUCCAGUCUCUCACCAAGUCCCUCAAACGCUCACCCUUCCCAGGCACCUCUGUUUGAUCCUUGCUUCUCUUGUUAUGGCUAGACAUUCCUCUCGGUCUGUCAUGAUGUUAUUCCCUCAGCUCCGAGGACAUGGCGUGUGAUUAACGACAGUCACCUCCCCAGCUCUCGUACCGUCGGCAGUACUCUACGUGAUGUGUCACCAUGUCCUCUCAAAACAAACAAAUUAUGAGCCGGUUUCGUCAACCAAAUAUCCUGUCUGUGUGAAAUCGAAGGUGGAGACCGAGGCACAAUGAUUCUCCUUGUCUUCUGUCUGGUGUGUCUCUUGUCGUGUUACACGUGCACACCUCGCUGAUGAGGAAGAGGAAGUGACAACAUAGUUCUCCAGCUCCACCCAUCAGUAUCAGUGUAUUUAUUACUAGUGAUGAUUGUUUCAUUUGUCAAAUGUUUGAGGAAGAAAAAUGUUUAAGGGGG